rnacentral:rRNA from 1 species
CCUACGUGUGGCAGCAGUGAGGAAUAUUGGUCAAUGGACGAGAGUCUGAACCAGCCAAGUAGCGUGAAGGAUGACUGCCCUAUGGGUUGUAAACUUCUUUUAUAUAGGAAUAAAAUGUUCCACGUGUGUGAUUUUGUAUGUACCAUAUGAAUAAGGAUCGGCUAACUCCGUGCCAGCAGCCGCGGUAAUACGGAGGAUCCGAGCGUUAUCCGGAUUUAUUGGGUUUAAAGGGAGCGUAGGUGGAUUUGUAAGUCAGUUGUGAAAGUUUGCGGCUCAACCGUAAAAUUGCAGUUGAAACUGGCAGUCUUGAGUACAGUAGAGGUGGGCGGAAUUCGGGGUGUAGCGGUGAAAUGCUUAGAUAUCACGAAGAACUCCGAGUGCGAAGGCAGUUCACUGGACUGCAACUGACACUGAGGCUCGAAAGUGUGGGUAUCAAACAGGAUUAGAUACCCGGGUAGUC